rnacentral:rRNA from 1 species
UACGUAGGGGGCAAGCGUUGUCCGGAAUCAUUGGGCGUAAAGCGCGUGUAGGCGGUUCGGUAAGUCUGCUGUGAAAGUCCAGGGCUCAACCCUGGGAUGCCGGUGGAUACUGUCGGACUAGAGUACGGAAGAGGCGAGUGGAAUUCCCGGUGUAGCGGUGAAAUGCGCAGAUAUCGGGAGGAACACCAAUUGCGAAGGCAGCUCGCUGGGACGUUACUGACGCUGAGGCGCGAAAGCUAGGGGAGCGAACAGG